rnacentral:rRNA from 1 species
UACGGAGGGUGCAAGCGUUAUCCGGAUUUACUGGGUUUAAAGGGUGUGUAGGCGGAUAAUUAAGUCAGAGGUGAAAUCUCCGGGCUCAACCCGGAAACUGCCUUUGAUACUAUUUAUCUUGAAUUUCGUUGAGGUUGGCGGAAUAUAUCAUGUAGCGGUGAAAUGCAUAGAUAUGAUAUAGAACACCGAUUGCGUAGGCAGCUGGCUGAACGACGAUUGACGCUGAGGCACGAAAGCGUGGGUAGCGAACAGG